UACAGAGGUCCCGAGCGUUGUUCGGAUUCACUGGGCGUAAAGGGUGCGUAGGUGGUUGGGUAAGUUUGAUGUGAAAGCUCAGGGCUUAACCCUGAAAUGGCAUUGAAUACUACUUAACUGGAGGUUUGGAGGGGGGACUGGAAUUCUUGGUGUAGCAGUGAAAUGCGUAGAUAUCAAGAGGAACACCAGUGGCGAAGGCGGGUCUCUGGGCCGAUACUGACGCUGAGGAGCGAAAGCGUGGGGAGCGAACAGG
rnacentral:rRNA from 1 species